rnacentral:rRNA from 1 species
GUAGGUGGCAAGCGUUGUCCGGAUUUACUGGGCGUAAAGAGCGCGCAGGCGGUCGUUCAAGUCGCGUGUGAAAGCCCCCGGCUCAACUGGGGAGGGUCACGCGAUACUGAUCGACUCGAAGGCAGGAGAGGGUAGUGGAAUUCCCGGUGUAGUGGUGAAAUGCGUAGAUAUCGGGAGGAACACCAGUGGCGAAGGCGACUACCUGGCCUGUUCUUGACGCUGAGGCGCGAAAGCUAGGGGAGCAAACGGGAUUAGAUACCCCGGUAGUCCUAGCCGUAAACGAUGGACAUUAGGUGUUGGUGGUAUCAACCCCGCCAGUGCCGAAGCUAACGCAUUAAGUGUCCCGCCUGGGGAGUACGGCCGCAAGGCUA